rnacentral:tRNA from 2 species
GCCGAAGUGGUGAAACUGGCAGACGCGCUGGACUCAAAAUCCAGUGGUAGCAAUACCGUGUGGGUUCGAGUCCCACCUUCGGCACCA